UGGUGACUCUGUGAAAGGCUCAUUAGAACAACUGUAAUUUCUUGGAUCAUAUCAUCCUACUUGGAUACCUGUGGUAAUUCUAGAGCUAAUACACGCAAUUCAGCCCCGACCUUACGGGAGGGGCGCAUUUAUUAGAACAAAACCAAUUGGCCUCGGCCAUCAUUUGGUGAAUCUGAAUAACUACGCUGAUCGCAUGGACUAGUUCCGGCGACAUAUCCUUCAAGUGUUUGCCUUAUCAACUGUCGAUGGUAGUUUAUAUGACUACCAUGGUUGUAACGGGUAACGGAGAAUUAGGGUUUGACUCCGGAGAGGGAGCCUGAGAAACGGCUACCACAUCCAAGGAAGGCAGCAGGCGCGCAAAUUACCCACUCUCAACUCGAGGAGGUAGUGACGAAAAAUAACAAGACAGUCCUCUAUGAGGUCUGUCAUUGGAAUGGGUACAAUCUAAACCCUUUAACGAGGAUCUAUUGGAGGGCAAGUCUGGUGCCAGCAGCCGCGGUAAUUCCAGCUCCAAUAGCGUAUAUUAAAGUUGUUGC
rnacentral:rRNA from 3 species